CCUAGUUAGUUCAAUUGUUAGAACACCACACCUCACAACCUGAAUGGAAAUGCGGGUUCAAUUCCUGCACUGGGCU